rnacentral:rRNA from 1 species
AGACUGCCGCUUAAUAAAUAAAAAAUUAAUUAAUAAAGGGGGAGGCAAGUCGUAACUUGGUAGGUGUACCGGAAGGUGCACUGGGAUAAAUAUAAGAGUUUA